UAAGUAAGCUUUGAUCCAGAGAUUUCCGAAUGGGGAAACCCAGCAUGAGUUAUGUCAUGUUAUCGAUAUGUGAAUACAUAGCAUAUCAGAAGGCACACCCGGAGAACUGAAACAUCUUAGUACCCGGAGGAAGAGAAAGAAAAUUCGAUUCCCUUAGUAGCGGCGAGCGAAACGGGAAGAGCCCAAACCAACAAGCUUGCUUGUUGGGGUUGUAGGACACUCUAUACGGAGUUACAAAGGACGACAUUAGACGAAUCAUCUGGAAAGAUGAAUCAAAGAAGGUAAUAAUCCUGUAGUCGAAAAUGUUGUCUCUCUUGAGUGAAUCCUGAGUACGACGGAGCACGUGAAAUUCCGUCGGAAUCUGGGAGGACCAUCUCCUAAGGCUAAAUACUCUCUAGUGACCGAUAGUGAACCAGUACCGUGAGGGAAAGGUGAAAAGCACCCCGGAAGGGGAGUGAAAUAGAACCUGAAACCGUGUGCUUACAAGUAGUCAGAGCCCGUUAAUGGGUGAUGGCGUGCCUUUUGUAGAAUGAACCGGCGAGUUACGAUUUGAUGCAAGGUUAAGCAGUAAAUGUGGAGCCGUAGCGAAAGCGAGUCUGAAUAGGGCGUUUAGUAUUUGGUCGUAGACCCGAAACCAGGUGAUCUACCCUUGGUCAGGUUGAAGUUCAGGUAACACUGAAUGGAGGACCGAACCGACUUACGUUGAAAAGUGAGCGGAUGAACUGAGGGUAGCGGAGAAAUUCCA
rnacentral:rRNA from 1 species